CGUUUAAUGAGAAAAGGAGAAUUUUCUAACUCCAAAGAGCGAAGAGCAAUCACACACUACAUUAGAGAGAAUCUGAUUUCACUUUAUUAUUCUCAGGCCAAGGUGCGAAUCCUUCUCCGUUGUAGAUCGGCAUCAGAUAUCGUCUUUCUCGUCCGCUUUUUCCCAUUGAAUCUUAAGUCAAAGUUGAAAAUGGAAGGGACUGUGUUUACGCCUUGUUUGGAAGGAAUGAAGCAUGUCAAGUCUGAACAAGGCGAGAUGCUUACUAAGCCUUUUCUAGAGCUCUGCAAGACGAUCUUGCCUGUUAUAGAUAAGUUUGGAGCUGCUAUGACUCUCGUGAAGUCUGACAUUGGUGGAAACAUAUCGAGGUUGGAGAAGAACUACUUAUCUGAUCCAGACAAGUUCAAGUACUUGUACACCUUUGUCCAAGUCGAAAUUGAGUCUAAAACAGCAAAAGGAUCGUCUAGUUGUACCAACGGUCUUCUCUGGUUAACCAGAGCAAUGGAUUUCUUAGUGGAGCUGUUCCGCAACUUGGUAGCACAUCAAGACUGGUCAAUGUCACAAGCAUGUGGUGACUCGUACCAAAAAACACUCAAGAAAUGGCACGGAUGGCUCGCCAGCUCUAGCUUCUCUGUAUUUACUUGCUCUCGCCUUUAUUCUCCUUUUUCUAUGUUCGAUCUUUAUCUUCUGCGAACCGGUCUCAUUUUGAUAUCCUGAGUAACCGUAAACCUUUUCUCUUAUCAGAUGGCUUUAAAGCUUGCUCCAGACAGGAAGAAGUUCAUGGAUGUCAUAUCUGGUUCUGGUGACAUUUAUGCCGACAUGGAAAGGUUUUGCUCUGAGUUUGGUCCGUUUCUUCAAGAUAAUCAUAAGUUUCUGGCUAGCGUGGGUAUGGACGACAUGAAAGCUUCUUGAGUCAUCAUAUGGUUACCGCUCGUAUCGUAUCUACUUUGCCGGAAACUUUAUCCGUUUUAAUUUUCUCCUUCAGACUUCAAAACUUCUAGAUCCUCCAAAGAAACAGAAUAAUUUGUUGGUUUCUAUCUGAAUGUUCACUUUAUAAUUAUUUUAUAAGUUUUAUAACUUACAAAUCAAUCUUAUCAACUCUUCUCUCUA